GACGAACGCUGGCGGCGUGCUUAACACAUGCAAGUCGAACGGAAAGGCCCUGCUUUUGUGGGUUGCUCGAUUGGCGCACAGGUGAGUAUCACGUGAGUAACAUGCCCUUGACUUUGGGAUAACUUCAGGAAACUGGGGCUAAUACCGGGUAGAAGCUCCUGCUGCAUGGUGUGGGUUGGAAAGUUUCGGCGGUUGUGGAUGGUUUGGCGGCUUAUCCGCUUGUUGGUGGGGUAGUGGCUUACCAAGGCUUUGACGGGUAGCCCGCCUGAGAGGGUUAACGGCGUCAAUGGGACUGAGAGACGGCCCAGAAUCCUACGGGACGCAGUAGUGGGGAACAUGGCAGAAUGGGGGGAAGCCAGAUGCAGAAACGCCGCGUGCGGGAUGCCGGGCUACGGGGUGUAAACCGCUGUCGCCGGUGAUGAAGAGUGAGUGACGGUAAUUGGUAAAGAAGCAACGGCUAACUACGUG
rnacentral:rRNA from 1 species